rnacentral:snoRNA from 1 species
CCGUCUUUUGCCACUGCUCGGUCAGUCACUUCAGCGACUGAUCUUGAGCCGGAUGCCUCGCUUCGGCGUGUGCACGAGACGAGAGAGAAGAGCCAAACAACGUUCUUUGAGUGCGAAACCUCCAGUGAUACACCAAAUGGAGACUUUCGUAAUUUCUCUGUUGUUACAUUC